GACACCAAUUUGGGGAUAUGAUCAUGACAGGCAAAGAGGAUUUGGGGAGGGCGAAGAGGUAACUUGUGAGGAUAAUCAAUAUAGAAAAUGGAUUGCUUAUGAAACCAAUUAAUUAUAUCAAGGAAUCGGCUAGCUUUUGAGCGAGGAGCCUCCUCUAUAUAUGCUAGCUAUUGUGUGCAAACUAAUUCCUGCAUCGAUCAUAUUAAACGUAAAACAAGCACAAAUAAGAUGAGCUUAUACUUUUGCGGCCACCACAAGCUUCUGAGGAAUAGCAUCAAUAUGUACUACUACAAUAUCCUCUUCUUCUUCAUCUGCUGCUGUCUCGUCACAGUCUGCAUGUCGGAUGAUCAUGAUCAAGUAGCAGUGCAGCAGCAGAACCCGUUACACCAGAUGCUGUCCAGCCGAAAAGAUCUGGUGCAGAUUGCUGGAUACGGAGAAGAGAAGCUUUCUACAGUUCUAAUUACUGGCUCCGUCCAUUGUGAAGAGGCGUGUAGCCUGUCUGAUGAUCAUGAACAAGCUCAUCAGCUUCAUCUUCAUGCAUGGCCUGUCUCAGUUUAUGUAUCAGUUUCUUCACCCCGAUUUUUGAAUCAUUGCAAUUCAAUCCAUGCUCCAACGCUCCAUGCGUCAUUUCUAACAAGCUUGAUUCAGUUUGAAGAAUAGGUGCUGUGGUGUCUGUGAAUUGCCGUGUGGGUGGGAGAAAAAGGAAAUCAAGUCGGUCACUAGGUGUCGCUGAUGAAUACGGAGAUUUCAUGAUUGAACUACCUUCUGAUUUACACGCAGUUCCCAACUUGGACAAACUAUGUUGCGCUAGAGUAAUUCGGGUACCAAAGAACACACAAUGCAAAGCAGCAUUUGUAAAGAGGCACAAGGGGCUGAAAUUAUCAUCAGUUGGUAAUGGUAUUAGAACUUACAGUGCUGGAAGGAUAAGAUUCCAGAAUUUGACACCUAAGCCUCCACAAGCAUGCAUCAAGAAAACAAGCAACAACAAACAGAUGUAAUCCCCAUUGUUUGUAGAUAAAGAGCCACAGCUCAUCUGGACGGCGCUUGAGUCACAGCACUGAGAUAGAGUGGUUUGAAUUCUACUUAUCAGAUGUAUAUAGCUAAAAGUGUGAUCACAAAAAUCAUGUGUGCAUAGAUUUAAAAUUCAUAGCAUGACAGAGAUCAUGCAUGUAAAAGCUACAAAACCUCAUAUUUGUUGUAUAGGCCACGGCUUUGUGUCAUAAAUAUCAUAUAAGUUUUGCAAUAUGAGAUGUGAUAUCGAUCAACC